AUGUAUGUGUACUGCCCUGCCCGCUUUCCCCCUCAAGAACUGUUUGGCCACAUGAGGACUCAGCGGAGAAUGGGCUCAAUUCAGCUACCAGCCUCCACUACCUGCAGCCCCCUCUACCAACACAUGCUUCAGGUAUCAACAUCCAGUGUCCCUGAAGGACCCGACUCUGGUGGUCCUAGGUGGUUUCUGAUGUCGAUGAGUGGCCCGCUCUCCUUAUCUCAGCCAUGGAGACCACUACAGAGCCACCCGAUUUCACUGCUGCUGCCACGAAGGCCAUCACUAAGUGAUCUGCUCUUCUUGUCUCAGCCAUGGAGGCCGCUACGGAGUCCACUCAAGAACCUGCUCCAGUCCAGGAGCCUUCAGAGUCCACUCCAGUUCACGAGUCUGCUCCAGAGCCUACUCCUACUCAUGAGUCUGCUCAACCAUGGUGGUCAAUUCUGUCAUGGUUCUGCUGGUGUGCCCUGGUUGGCCACCAGCUGUCACUGUGUUUUUUUUACUGCUUGUUGUUUGCUGUUAAUGCCAUGUGCUCUCCUGUCUAUUGUCUGACCCCACCCUUCUUGUUAUAUCAUUGUUUCAGUUGCUCCACCUGUGUCUUCCUCAUUACCCUCCUCAAUUGUCUCCCUAUUUAUUCUCCUGGUUUCUGCAGUCCUUUGCUGAUCCUAAUCACAAAAAUAUCAAAGUACAAAUUAUAAAAGUUCACUGUAAAGGUCCUUUCAAGGUUCUUUACACACAGUAACAUUUCUAUUAAGAACCAUAUCAUCCUGAAGAACCCUUUUAUGCAAAAAAAUCUCCUUUUUGUCAAAGAUUAUUCAGGUAAUAACUGUUAUAGAGCACUGUUUUUUUUUUUUUUCUACAAUUCCCCCUUGACGCAAGAAAAAUAAAAACACAUAAUUCAGUCUUGCUGUCAGUUUUCUUUAAUGUAAACCCUAAUAUGAGACCAGGCAGAUAUGGAUACAAAAAUUAAACGUGAAAUUUGAAAAUGAAAAACUAAGUAUUUUCUUGUGAAACAUGCUGUUUUAUUUACAGCUUUGAAAAAAAUUACAAAUAAUUUUUACAGUGCACAUAUAAUAAUACAUUAAUAAACAAUAGCAAACUGUAUGUAACUAAUAAAAUGUAUUAAAAAACUUCUUAAUGUUGUCUAUAUCAAUAUAUAUUAUUUAUCAGUAUAUCUAUAUGAAGUUGCAUUUGGUCUUGUACUGUAUCGCAUACCUUUUCAGUGCCAUGCACUUGCUUAGACCUUUGUUGUGAUGAACAGUAAAGUGUGUUCAAGCGCUAACAAAAGACAGUGUAAAGAAAUACUCUUUGAGAGAAGCAGUCAAUCAACGGAAGUUAAAAGCAAAUCGUAAAUUUAUUUAUUUCUUGUCUCGUUAGUGUUUAGCGCAGUUGUCAUUUUGUUUACUGUGUUGAGAACUGCUGAAGCUGCGUUUGUCUUUCAGGCCAUGCCGUACAAUCCCUUCUGCCCCUUGGCUGUCUGAUGUUCUCCGCGAGCAUCGUUUUAAGCUCAGGGCUGCUGAAAGGGUGUGGCACAAAUCAAAAAAGACUACUGACCUUGAUGUGUAUCAGUCACUCCUCUCUUCCUUCUCUGCUAAUGUCUCCACUGCUAAAAGGACAUAUAUCAUAACAAAAUUGACAAUUUAUUCAAAACAUUUUCCACCCUCCUUUGUCCUCCUCCUUCCCCUCCUUCAUCAUCUCCAACAGCUGAUGACUUUGCCAUGUUCUUCAUUAAUAAAAUGAAAACCAUUCAGUGCAAAAUUUUCCAGUGCACAUCUUAUCAGCAAACAUACACUCGUUCACAUCCUUCUCUUCACUCUCUGAGACAGAAGUCUCCAAACUCAUCCUUUCUAAUCAUCCUACUACUUGUCCGCUUGAUCCUAUUCCAUCUCAUCUCCUUCAAGCCAUUUCUCCUGCAGUUGUACUUGCACUCACUCACAUCAUUAACACAUCCCUUCAAACUGGUGUUUUUCACUCAGUAUUUAGACAGACUUGUAUAAACCCACUACUUAAGAAACCUACCCUUAACCCAUCUCUUUUAGAGAACUACAGACAAGUUUCCCUUCUUCCUUUCAUUGCAAAAACACCUGAACAAACUCUGUUCAACCAAGUCUCUGCCUUUCUCACACAGAACAACCUCCUCGACAGCAACCAGUCUGGCUUCAGAAGUGGACAUUCAACCGAGACUGCCUUGCUCUCAGUAGUUGAAGUCCUAAGACUGACAAGAGCAGAUUCCAAAUCUUCAAUACUUCUCUUGGUGGAUCUGUCCACUGCUCUUGAUACGGUUAACCACCAGAUCCUCCUGUCAACCCUUUUGGUAAAGGGCAUCUCAGGAAUCGCACUCCAGUGGUUUGAGUCUUAUCUCUCAGAUAGGUCCUUCAAGGUAUCUUGGAGAGGUGAGGUGUCCAAGUUGCAACAUCUAACUACUGGGGUGCCUCAGGGCUCUGUUCUUGGACUACUUCUCUUCUCUGUCUACAUGGUAUCACUAGGUUCUGUCAUUCAGAAACAUGGCUUUUCAUAUCACUGCUAUGCUGAUGACACUCAAUUCUACCUCUCAUUCCAUCCUAUAGCUGCUCACAUCUCAUCUUGUCUAACAGACAUUUCUUGCUGGAUGAAGGACCAUCAACUUCAACUCAACAUUGCCAAGACAGAACUGCUUGUGGUUCCAUUAAACCCAUUGUUUCAUCACAAUUUCAUCAUCCAGUUAGGCACAUCAACCAUAACUCCUUCAAAACAGUCAUAAACUUUGGAGUUAUGAUUGAUGAUCAGCUGACUUUAUCAGACCACGAUGCUAAAACUGCCCGGUCCUGCAGAUUUGCUUUAUGCAACAUCAAGAAGAUCAGGCCCUUUCUUUCGGAACAUGCUUCAAAACUCCAUGUUCAAGCUCAUGUUCUGUCCAGGCUGGACUAUUGCUAUGCUCUCUUGGCAGGUCUUCCAGCCAGUUCUAUCAAACCUUUACAAUUAAUCCAGAACGCGGCAGCAAGAUUAAUUUUUAACAAGCUGAAAGAAAUGCACGUCACACCUCUGUUUUUCAAUUUGCCCUGGCUACCAAAAGCUGAUCCCAUAAAAUUCAAGGCAUUAAUGUUUGCCUACAAAACCACCACUGGCUCUGCACCCCUUUACCUAAA
ensembl:lncRNA